rnacentral:piRNA from 1 species
UGAAUUCUUGGCUUAACUUGUGGUCAAAAC